CCAAGGUUUUCUGCCCACCGCCAGCAUGACAGUGAUGAGUGGGUGCUGAGGAUUAAAGACGUGAAGCAGCGGGACGCCGGCAUCUACAUCUGCCAGGUUACUUCGGACUCGGGCGCAAAGCUGCGGUUGAAUCUGCAUGUCAGAGAGAAAAACUCAGGAGGAGGAAAGCAGACCAGCACCGACGCUCCUGUCCCGCUGCUACUUGAGUUGAUGAUGGCAUUGUCGACUGCCGUUUCACUCAUCUUAUGAUUGUGAUGGUGGUGGUGGUGCCAGUAAUGUGAGAAAACUGGUGAGGUGUCUGACAAAUCCCGGUAACGAAAAAAGGGUAGCAUACGGUGCUGUCAGCAGCCUGCCACACCGCUUGUGGUAGCGGGGUAGCAGCCGGUAGCUGAGGGUAGCAGCUGACGUUGAAGCUUACCCAGUAUCCCAAAAGCUAUUUCUAAGCUUUUCCUAGAGGUCCACGCCAAUGCCCUGACACAUUGCGUG